GGCUUUCGAUGACCAGCUUUGGGCGCAUUUCAAUUGCCUCCCCGCCAGGGACAUGCAUGAGAUUACCUUUUCCGCAGAUGAUAAGCCAAAGCUUCUCAGUCAGUUGACUUCUUUAUUAGCUGAAAUUGG